CCUACGGGCGGCUGCAGUAGGGAAUAUUGCUCAAUGGGGGAAACCCUGAAGCAGCAACGCCGCGUGGAGGAUGAAGGUUUUCGGAUUGUAAACUCCUUUUGUUAGAGAAGAUAAUGACGGUAUCUAACGAAUAAGCACCGGCUAACUCCGUGCCAGCAGCCGCGGUAAUACGGAGGGUGCAAGCGUUACUCGGAUUCACUGGGCGGAAAGAGCGCGUAGGCGGGAUAGCAAGUCAGAUGUGAAAUCCUAUGGCUUAACCAUAGAACUGCAUUUGAAACUGUUAUUCUAGAGUAUGGGAGAGGUAGGUGGAAUUCUUGGUGUAGGGGUAAAAUCCGUAGAGAUCAAGAGGAAUACUCAUUGCGAAGGCGACCUGCUAGAACAUAACUGACGCUGAUGCGCGAAAGCGUGGGGAGCAAACAGGAUUAGAUACCCGGGUAGUC
rnacentral:rRNA from 1 species